rnacentral:tRNA from 1 species
GCCUUCGUGACGUAGUGAUUAGCGCGCUCGACGCGUAUUCGAGAGGUCCGUGGUUCGAGUCCCGGCGAGGACA